rnacentral:rRNA from 1 species
GAUGAACGCUGGCGGCGUGCUUUAACACAUGCAAGUCGAACGGAGGACCCUUCGACGGAGUUUUCGGUACAACGGAUAGGAAUCCUUAGUGGCGGACGGGUGGAGUAACGCGUGAGGAACCUGCCUUGGAGAGGGGAAGUAACACAGAGAAAUUUAGUUGCUAAUACCGCAUGAUGCAGUUGGGUCGGCAUGGCUCUGACUGCCAAAGAUUUAUCGCUCUGAGAUGGCCUCGCGUCUGAUUAGCUAGUUGGCAGGGUAACGGCCUACCAAGGCGACGAUCAGUAGCCGGACUGAGAGGUUGACCGGCCACAUUGGGACUGAGACACGGCCCAGACUCCUACGGGAGGCAGCAGUGGGGGAAUAUUGGGCAAAUGGGCGCAAGCCUGACCCAAGCAACGCCGCGUGAAGGAAGAAGGCUUUCGGGUUG